UAUCUCAUGACCAUUAUAGAAGCAAUUAUGUUUUCAAUAUUUGUUUUAAACCUAUACAUUUGUGAACAUGCUUAAUUAUUUUAAAAUCAUUUAUUUUUUAGUAAAUAUUGAAAGAGGAUUAUGAACAGGAUUACAAUGAGUUGCAGUGUUUUACAUCUCAUCAAAUAGACAAGUCAGUGUUGCAUUAUGCAAGUUUUCAAGACUUGCAGUUGCUAAGGGGGAUGGGGAGAAAGUAGGAUGGACUGGAGUUUGGGGUUGGUAGAUGUAAACUAUUACAUUUAGAGUGGAUAAGCAAUGAGGUCCUACUAUAUAGCACAGGGAACUAUAUCCAGUCUUUUGGGAUAGACCAUGAUGGAAGAUAAUAUAAGAAAGGGAAUGUGUGUAUGUGUGCGUGUAUAUGACUGGGUCACUUUGCUGUACAGCAGAAAUUGGCACAUCAUUGUAAAUCAACUAUAUUCUAAUUUAAAAAGGAAAAAAAUAAUUAUAAAUUUUCAAACAGCAGACAUUUCAAAAGGAAACUAUGCUUCUUGCAUCUGGAAUUGUCAGACUCACUUUCUACCACAUUAGUAGAAGUUGAGGUAGACUUAAUUAGGAUGAUUUAUUCCCUUCUUUGACACUAUUGUGAAGACAAGAUGUUCAUUUGGGUCCACUUGGACUCAAGAAGUUCUCUUACAUGAAUUCUGUUCCAUAGUAAAUUUGAAACUACAUUCAUUCAUUCAUUCAUUCACCCACUUAUUCACUAAUUCAAAAAUAUUUAGCUUCCACUAGAGUCCAAGUUUUAAUCAAAUACUAGGGGAUACUGUGGUUACUAGACAACAUAGGGCCCUGUAAAAUUGUCUGAGAAUAACUGUAAAAGGGAUAAUUUUUUUAUUUAAAAUGACCAAAUUUAAUAAAUCAUUAAAUUAAAGACACACAAUGAAUCACAGAUAUCUUCACAAAUUGGAGUUUUAAAAUUAUUCCUCCUCUUUUGAGGGUUGAUAAUAAUUUGCAAACCUAAGAGGUUACAACCCUGUUUGUACCAUUUAUCAUCUGUUCUCCUGCUCUUGGUUUUCCAUCUUCUGAUAUUGGUUAACCUUUGGUGAGACCAUGACCUGUGUUGAUCAGUCUCUGAGAGACUCCAUCCUCAUUUCAAGAGGAACUGCCAACUCCCUCAUUAAGUAUUCAGCAUGAUAUUGUCAUUUCUAGAGUUUGCUAUCCUUGUCAUAAAGCCUUAUAAUGUCUAUGCUCCCUGUUCUCAUUUCUCCUUCUCACUGUCUACCUCAUGUACUGUGAGGGAUGCACAUUGCUUCCUCUCUCCCAUCCAGGGUGUCAGACUUCUUCCCUUUUCUGCAUCCCCUCAUUACCCUUAUGUCAUAUGGCCUAUAACACUUUGUUAUCUGUUCAGACUUUCUUUCUCUAUUUGUCAAUUUUGUCUUUCUGACUUCUGGUGUGGAAAGAGAAGUUAUUUAUCCAUCUCAAUAAAUCUCGUUAUUUCAAGUGAAAAAUAUCACCGUCCAUGCCCUGCUGAAAGAAAGUGCUCUAGGAAACUGUUAAACAUUUUUUUUUAAGCAUUGUUCUUUUCCUGGGCAACUGUAUUGUGAAUCUCACCACAAGCUGUAAAUAUAGCAACCGACUUAGCACAGUAACAUUUUGGCUCUUACAUAAUUGCUCACUUUUUGGUGUGUGGUCCAAUUAUUAUGUUAGUGGCCCAAAUAUUAUAUUAGUACCCACAACUAACCUCUCUUGUAAGAUCCCACUGGAAAAUUUGAUUGUCACCAUUUCCUUAGAAUUAACAUUUCCAAAAACAAAAUUAUCUAGGUUUCCCAAAAUACUCACAGGUUCCUUUACCUCCUAACCUUCCAAUUUCUAGCAUCAUCUAGUCAAAGAAGCUAAAAACUUUUGAGUCCCUCUCUUCAGCAAUGCUUAUCUGCUCCUAAACUUCUAAAAUGUUUUGGCUUUUGGUUCUACCUACCCAACCACGCCUCCUUCUUUAUUCUAAAUUUAUCUUCUCUAGAAUAUUUGAGCACUAACUUUGAGAACAUUUUACUCUCAUAACAGUUUUUCCCAUCUCCAUUAACUUUCACUUUUGCAGCCAAUGAUCAUUUUGCUUUGAAAUAUCAUUCUGAUUCUAAAAAGUCUUUAACAACUCCCAAAGCCUAGAGAAUAAAGCCCAUAUUCCAACAUUAGACUUUCUUUCUUCUUGCUCAUCCUCCCUAAUCCUCAGGGUAUAUCCUAUUCUCUAAAUAUUAUUUAUAGAAGAAAAUUAGAUGGGAGUUCCCAUUGUGGCACAACAGAAACAAAUCUGACUAGUAUCCAUGAGGAUUCGGAUUCAAUCCUUGGCUUCACUCAGUAGGUUGGGGAUCCAGUGCUGCCGUGAGCUGUGGUGUAGGUCACAGACAUGGCUAAGAUACCACGUUGCUGUGGCUGUGGUGUAGGCCUGUAGCUGUAGCUUUGAAUUAACCCCUGGCCUGGGAACUUACAUAUGCUAUGGGUGCAGCCC
rnacentral:lncRNA from 1 species